CCUACGGGUGGCAGCAGUCGGGAAUAUUGCACAAUGGGGGAAACCCUGAUGCAGCGACGCCGCGUGAGUGAAGGAGUAACUCGUUAUGUUAAGCUCCUGUAGUGGGGGAGAAAAUGACGGUACUUGUGUAAGAAGCGGCAGCUAACUACGUGCCAGCAGCCGCGGUAAGACGUAGGGUGCAAGCGUUAUCCGGAUUUACUGGGUGUAAAGGGAGCGUAGACGGUGCGGCAAGUCUGGUGUGAAAUGCCGCAGCUUAACUGCGGAACUGCAUUGGAAACUGCGGAACUAGAGUGAGGGAGGGGUAAGCGGAAUUCUCGGUGUAGCGGUGAAAUGCGUAGAUAUUAGGAGGAACACUGGUGGCGAAGGCGGGUUACUGGACAGUAACUGACGCUGAGGCACGAAAGCGAGGGGAGCGAACAGGAUUAGAUACCCUAGUAGUC
rnacentral:rRNA from 1 species